CACAGCAAAACCACCAGUGUUGAUUUUACAGAGUUCGCUACUCUAGAGUGGUCAGGUGUUAGUUGUAGUGUUCGUUUAUAAUUUAUCAUCACUCACAGUGUCAGAAACUUCCACAAGGGGGUGUUGCUUUCCAGUGUUCCAAUAAUAACGUUUGCGGGGAGUUAAGAUUCACGCCACGCCCCUUCUUUCUGAAGCGGGAAAGUCAGUUACUCAGCAUCGACCGACCUGGACUCACGUUACUGAGGUUUGGAACAUGCUGCUGAAGUUGGUUAUCAGGGCUCCAGGAAAUGUAUCAAACUGCAGGAUUGAUUUAUUUUUGCUCAUUAGUGAAGGUGGUAAGCUAAACUGACUGUGGACUAAUGUAUGCAUUGUUGAUGACACUGAAAUCGAGGAAGACAUUCUACAAGAUGUGCUGCUUACAGUUAGAGGACAAAAUGAAGAUGCAACAAGCAGCUUCUGCCACUGUCAUUUACCAUCUGAACUUGACCAAAGUCGUUCCAAGAAAUCUAAGAGAACAGAUGACUCCAUGACCGAGACUCCUACAAGGAACCAGUGAGAGCAUAGACUGUGAUAGUGACAUGGCAACACUGCCUUUACUGCUCCAUCUCCUUCCACCAUCACCUCAACGGAAUCAGUGCAUCAGAUUUGCAGUGAGCAGGCUUGUGGUGUAUCAUAAGUCUUGUACCAGCCUUGAAGAACAUCUUCAGCAACGAGUAGGAUGACAACCGUACCUUACUGCGGUUAGCAGGAUCUGCGGCCAGAUUUGAGAACUUUGACGUGGCUUUUGAUAAGAAUCUCACCCCAUCAGUCGGAAGGCUCCCUUUUAUUAGCAUUUGACUUUGUUUUUAAUGUAAUGUAUGAUGAUGGACUCCUUUACUUUAACUAAUUUAAUCAAACAACAGUUUACAUGUUGGGAAAACUAGAGAUUGAGAGCUGAGAGCAAACUUUUUUUAACUAGCUGUAACUAGUAUCUCAUUUACGGUUUCAGCAUGCAUUUUAUCCUUGCCCAAAUUUCUAAUUAAUAUGUGCAAAAGAAAAUUGUGAUUACUUUUGUGAUGUAUUGUUUUACAGAAUGUUUAGUGAAAGAUUUGCUGUGAUUUGCCCUAGAUGUGUGUCAGACAUGGAUUUUAAAACACUUUUCCAGUUUUGUUUAAACUCCUUGGCAAAAUUGAAAGGACUGUAUACAUAACCACUCUCUGAAAAUUUUGAAAAAGUUCACAAGUGAAACUUUAUUUUUUUAUAAAUAUUUAAUAAUGUCAAAUAAAUUUGUUAAAUAAAUUUGUGGUCAAUAA